GACGAACGCUGGCGGCGUGCCUAAUACAUGCAAGUCGAGCGAUGAAGGGUGGUACUUGUACCAACUGGAUGAGCAGCGAACGGGUGAGUAACGCGUGGGGAACCUGCCUAUGAGCGUGGGAUAACUUUGGGAAACGAUAGCUAAUACCGGAUAAUAUUUUGAAACACAAGUUUCAAGAUUGAAAGAUGCAAUUGCAUCCAUUAAAGGAGAUCUCGGGAUUUCUUAGGUAGUUGGUGAGGGAAAGGCUUUCCAAAGCGAUGAUACAAUGCCGACCUGAGAGGGUGAUCUGGCACAGUGGGAAUGAGACACGGCCCAAACUCCUACGGGAGGCAGCAGGAGGGAAUCCUCGGCAAUGGACGAAAGUCUGACCGAGCAACGCCGCGUGAGUGAAUGAGGGUUUCGGAUCGUAAAACUCUGUUGAUAGGGAAGAAAGUUAGUGAGAGUGGAAAGCUCAUAAAGUGACGGUAACUACCCAGAAAGGGACGGCUAACUACGUG
rnacentral:rRNA from 1 species